CCGUCGAUAGCUCAGUUGGUAGAGCGGGAGACUGUAGAGGUUAAUCCAUUGUCAUCUCUAGGUCGCUGGUUCGAAUCCGGCUCGACGGA
rfam:Strongylocentrotus purpuratus Contig24619_fixed, whole genome shotgun sequence.